ACUGCAUUUUUAGCCUCUGGGGCCGAAGAACUCACAAGUGUAGGUAGUGUGCUAUGGGGGGCGGGCGGGGGCAAGUCUUUCUCUAACAUCACAAGGAUCUCUGGCCCAAUGAGUGGAGUUUGAUAGUAAUUCUCGCUACUAAU
rnacentral:snoRNA from 14 species